rnacentral:lncRNA from 14 species
UGGAUCUAAGGAGCUGCUAACCACCAGGAAAGGAUGAACAUGGAGCUGGAGGCAGUGACCGCUGCAGCUGAAGAUGUUGGGAGAUAAUCCUGUACUAAAACUAUUAGGAGGCAAAUUUACUUGAACUUCAAAACCUCUUCGAUGUGAAAGGAAAAUGAACUGUGUGUGAGUGUGUGCUUCAUUAAUUUGGGCUUGGCCAGUUGUGUGCA